UGGUUGCAAUAAUCUUUGCCAUUUUGGUUUGUUGAAAGUAGACAGUUAUUUCAAGUUUUGAUCCUUGAACUGAGAUGGCCUAUUGGUUGUUUGUACUUGUUCACUUGUUAAUAACUACUGUUAGGCUAUCUGUUUUACUGAAUUGGUUCAGUAAAUGUGUCAUGUUGACUAUUUUGCAAUGUAUUGCCUUGAGUAUUAGCUUAAAAAGUAUCAUGAAAUUUGAUCUCAUCAUCGUUUUAAGAAAAUGGAGGGCUCCAAAGUAGCAUAAGUAAAAUUACCAUUCUGGAAUGAUGAGUUUUCCUAAUUGGGCCAUUGCUUAUCAAAUUGAUGGAUGAAUUAAAGGAAAUUCAUAUUUCAUUAAUGGUGAGCGGUCGCUAAAGCGUAAAAAAACAGUGACAAAUAGGAAAGUGCUUUUACGAAGUGCAUUUAGUGAAGUGGGCUUUUUUGUGUUAGCGCAUAAAAAAAAAAGAGCGCACAGUGUAAAGAGUCUCAACUUCAAGGCCAGUACUGGAAGAUGUUGAGAUAGAUUUAGAUGAAGAUUUUGAUGAAAUUGAUCUUAUUUUGGAGAUG
rnacentral:misc_RNA from 1 species